rnacentral:hammerhead_ribozyme from 1 species
AUCCAUCUGUUGAGUCCCAAAUAGGACAAAACGCACGUCCUAGAU